rnacentral:rRNA from 1 species
UACGGAGGGGGCUAGCGUUGUUCGGAAUUACUGGGCGUAAAGCGUGCGUAGGCGGUUUGUUAAGUCUGUUGUGAAAUCCCCGGGCUCAACCUGGGAAUGGCAAUGGAUACUGGCAAGCUAGAGUGUGUCAGAGGAUGGUGGAAUUCCCGGUGUAGCGGUGAAAUGCGUAGAGAUCGGGAGGAACAUCAGUGGCGAAGGCGGCCAUCUGGGACAACACUGACGCUGAGGCGCGAAAGCGUGGGGAGCAAACAGG